rnacentral:rRNA from 1 species
GACGAACCGUGCAAACGUUAUUCGGAAUCACUGGGCGUAAAGCGCACGUAGGCGGCGCAGCAAGUCAGGGGUGAAAUCCCGGGGCUCAACCCCGGAACUGCCUCUGAAACUGCAGUGCUAGAAUCUUGGAGAGGCGAGUGGAAUUCCGAGUGUAGAGGUGAAAUUCGUAGAUAUUCGGAAGAACACCAGUGGCGAAGGCGACUCGCUGGACAGCAUCUGACGCUGAGACGCGAAAGCGUGGGGAGCAAACAGG